rnacentral:rRNA from 1 species
UACGUAGGGUCCGAGCGUUGUCCGGAAUUAUUGGGCGUAAAGAGCUCGCAGGCGGUUUGUCGCGUCUGCUGUGAAAUCCCGAGGCUCAACCUCGGGUCUGCAGUGGGUACGGGCAGACUGGAGUGCGGUAGGGGAGAAUGGAAUUCCUGGUGUAGCGGUGGAAUGCGCAGAUAUCAGGAGGAACACCGAUGGCGAAGGCAGUUCUCUGGGCCGUAACUGACGCUGAGGAGCGAAAGCGUGGGGAGCGAACAGG